rnacentral:other from 1 species
UGCUCCCUGUGGUGUUCGCGGAUGGGCUAAGUAAUCACUUGAGCCUAAAUCGUUACCCUAGGGAACCGGCUAUCAAGGUUGGUGUGCAUGUCCGUCACCUAUGCGGAAAGCCUGAUACCUCGAUCCAUGUUCCCACGUGAACCGUCUGGUUCAAGGGUCAAGGCCCAAGUCGGCACAGACGGGGAGCGC